rnacentral:lncRNA from 1 species
AAAAAAAAAAAAAAAAAAACAUUUAUAGUAGUCGCAAUAGCAGCAAUAAUAAUAGUACAAAAAAGAAGAGGCAUAACAAAAUUAACCCUGUAAUAAAAUAACUUAGCAUUAUUAAAAAAAAAAAUAGUUAAUUGAUAAAAAAAAAAAAAAAAAAAAUAGACACGUGAACAGGCAGGCACUUAUAUAUACAUAUAUACAUAUAUAUAAUGAACAAAACUGGUGUAUACGUUUUAAAAAAAAAAGUAGCUGUUUACAUUUUUUAAUAUUAUAUAAAAGUUAAUAUAUACAUAUAUGUAAACAUGGCUAGUUUCCUACGAAAUCGUAAUACAAGUACCACUGCAGACGACUCUUCUAAUUAUUCUAAAACACACCAAAAUGAAACAGAAAAAGAAGCAAAACUGGGCGCUAAAAAUGGACUUCAAAAAGAUAGUAAAAUAAAAAUAACAUUUAAAUAUAUAAAAUACAUACUAAAUAAUAAAAUACAAGGCAAAUAUAAAUACUCUUUUUUAGUGGGAUUAUUUAUCGUAUGUUUAAUAUGUAGUGGUUUUUUUCACUGGAUACUAAGAGUGUAUCAUACUCGUUUUUAUAAUUUUAAAUAUAUAGAUGAAAAUAAUAUAGACGAAUUAAAGGAAUUAUUUUUUAGUAAUAAGCCAUAUAUGGUGUAUUGUAAAAAUAGCAAAAAUGAAAGUAUACAUCCUGUUAUUAAUCAAAGUUCAUAUCAUUUCCCAGACAUUUUAAAUGUAGCUAUAAUCAAUUGUAAAACUGUAUUACCGAGUAAAAAAACUGUAUAUGAACGUUUUAAUUUAGUUGAAAGUACCAAAGCCUUUAUAAUAUGUUAUGGAAAGAAACCUAAACCGAUUAAUUUAAAUAUAAUGAAUGAUAAAAAAAAACUUUUAGCUUUCAUACGUGAAGCAUUAACAUUUUCUGUUCCAUUUUUUACCAAAUUUCCACAAUUUCAAACAAAAUGUAUAAAUAAAAAUAAAAAAUGUAUUAUAUUCAUAAGUUCCUUAAACUUAAACAAAAGUAUUAAAUAUAAUUAUAUUAAUGAUAUAUUUAUUAAUAAUAAAUUUUUUGACAUUAAUCCCUUGAUUGUUGAUA